rnacentral:tRNA from 1 species
CAUAGCUCAGUGGUAAAGCACUUGUCUUGCAUGCAUGAGGCCCUGAGCUCAAUCCUUAGUG